AGACAGUUUGUGGCCUUCCAGGUAUUGAUUCAAUCUCCGCUGAUUUAAAAGGUAAAAAAUUGACAGUAAUCGGAGACGUUGAUCCAAUUAUCGUAGUUAAAAAGUUGAGGAAACGCCAUUACACAAAGAUAAUCUCCGUUGAAUGAGCAAAAAAACCUGAACAGAAGAGUAGAAGGAAUAAGAAGAGAAGGAAAGAGACGUUAGAAAAAAAAAAAACAAAA
rnacentral:misc_RNA from 1 species